CAGUAUAUCUUCGGCGCGAAACCUAUACCACAUGGCGCAAAAACUGAUACACUGUCGAUUGUUAUUUGGGCGCGAAGAAAAGUGUUUCAACUACGGUAAAUUCGUGGACUAUAUUUUCUGUUGAAUAUGUCAGGGAAAAAAGAUGAUACAGAGAAGUUUAUUGAUGACUAUAUAAAGGUGGCACAAAAAUGUGUUAUGCGAUGCGUGUCGCUGUUUGCUACCACUGUUACUCCAGAGGAGAUGGAGUGCAUUAGACAAUGCAUUAGACAGGAAAUGAGGAUCAUGCGGCAGCGUAAAAACAAUAGAUUACCAAAAGCCAUAAAGUAAAAGUGUUCUGGAUAAGUGAACUGAAAUAGAAUUGAUGUUAACACGAUUUCUCUAAAAUAAAUAUUUAUUAAUAAAAAUGAUUG